rnacentral:lncRNA from 10 species
UCUCAUCCAAAGAUGUGGCCAUCAAGGAGAAGUCUUUCCCAUCGUAAAUAUCCAAGGGCGUGACUGAGCCAUCACUGAACUGGACCCAGCAACUGAUGGCUGCUUCCUAUGGAGAAAAAUAUGUGCUCACUCUGAUGAAGUGAGGUGCAUGCUGUGAGCCAAGCUGUAGAGAUUUCCACCCAGCUAGAAGCUGAGAGUGACCUCUGGCCAGCACCAGUGAGGAACUGAGACUAGCCAGCAACCGCACGAGUGAGCCUGCAUGUAGAUCCUUCCCCACAUGAGCCUUGAGAUGGG